rnacentral:rRNA from 1 species
UACGUAGGGUGCAAGCGUUAAUCGGAAUUACUGGGCGUAAAGCGUGCGCAGGCGGUUUUGUAAGUCUGACGUGAAAUCCCCGGGCUCAACCUGGGAAUUGCGUUGGAGACUGCAAGGCUAGAAUCUGGCAGAGGGGGGUAGAAUUCCGCGUGUAGCAGUGAAAUGCGUAGAUAUGCGGAGGAACACCGAUGGCGAAGGCAAUCCCCUGGACCUGUACUGACGCUCAUGGCACGAAAAGCGUGGGGGAGCAAAACAGGG